rnacentral:misc_RNA from 1 species
UGGUUCUGGCAUCGAUGAAGAACGCAGCGAAAUGCGAUAAGUAAUGUGAAUUGCAGAAUUCAGUGAAUCAUCGAAUCUUUGAACGCACAUUGCGCCCCUUGGUAUUCUGGGGGGCAUGCCUAUUCGAGCGUCAUUACACCCCUCAAGCCUGGCUUGGUAUUGGGCUCUCGCCGUUUGUUCGGCGGGCCUUAAAAUUAGUGGCGGUGCCUCCGUGGCCCUAAGCGUAGUAAAUAUCCUCGCUUCUGGACCUGGUGAUUACUGGCCAGUAACCCCCAACUUUCUAAGUUUGACCUCGGAUUAGGUAGGGAUACCCGCUGA